rnacentral:rRNA from 1 species
UACGGGGGGGGGCAAGCGUUGUUCGGAAUUACUGGGCGUAAAGGGCGCGUAGGCGGAUAUUUAAGUUAGAUGUGAAAUCCCUGGGCUUAACCUAGGAACUGCAUCUGAUACUGGAUGUCUGGAGUGCGGUAGAGGGUAGUGGAAUUUCCGGUGUAGCGGUGAAAUGCGUAGAUAUCGGGAGGAAUACCAGUGGCGAAGGCGGCGACCUGGGCCAAUACUGACGCUGAGGUGCGAA